rnacentral:tRNA from 1 species
CGUAUUUCAGCAGCUCUGACGGGAAGUUCUCCGAUCGCUACGAGGCGCAGAGACGGUUCGGCGAGCUGCGCACCGGUUCGGUUCCGGUGAAAGGCGGC